rnacentral:hammerhead_ribozyme from 1 species
UUCCCCCUGAUGAGCCUAAGCAUUAGGCGAAACGCGCGUCGGGUAU